rnacentral:rRNA from 1 species
GGGGAAAGUUGCAAAGAACUUUGAAGAGAGAGUUCAAGAGUGCGUGAAACCACUGGAAUGGAAACAGACAGAGUUGACGAAACUCGUCGAUAUUCAGCUGAGCCUUCGGGCACGGUGUACUUGUCGGCGGUAUGCGCUGAGUCCGCUGUUGGUGUGCGUUGAGCGUCGCGGUGUUGCCCACUUGUGGUGUCUUGCCGCGGCGGGAGGCGUAUCGUCGGUAGCGCGAUUCGGUGUAGGCGUUGAUCACCUGUCUGACCCGUCUUGAAACACGGACCAAGGAGUCUACCGCAUGCGCGAGUCAUUGGGUUGUAAACCUAGAGGCGCAAUGAAAGUAAAGGUCGGCGUUCGCUCGGCUGAUAUGGGAUGCGUGUGCUUGUCAUGCGCCGCACCAUAGCCCCGUCUCGACGGCUUGCCGUGGGGCGGAGGUAGAGCGUAUGUGGUAGGACCCGAAAGAUGGUGAACUAUACGUGAGCAGGGCGAAGCCGGAGGAAACUCCGGUGGAGGUCCGUAACGAUUCUGACGUGCAAAUCGAUCGUCUGACUGCGUAUA